UACCCAUGCUGAGGACAUUUUUUGAGCAAGUCCUUGAACCGUUCCUAAGCUUCAUACAAUGGCUUAAAGUUAUUUUGGCGGAA
rfam:Morus notabilis contig25591, whole genome shotgun sequence.